AGUGAACGCUGGCGGCGUGCUUAACACAUGCAAGUCGAACGAGAACGGGUUAUAGCUUGCUAUAAUUGUCAGCUAAGUGGCGCACGGGUGAGUAAUGUAUAGGUAAUAUGCCUCUUACUAAGGGAUAACAAAUGGAAACGUUUGCUAAUACCUUAUACUCCUUAUUAACAGAAGUCAAUAAGGGAAAGAUUUAUUGGUAAGAGAUUAGCCUGUAUUGUAUCAGUUAGUUGGUGGGGUAAUGGCUUGCCAAGACUAUGACACAUAACUGGUUUGAGAGGAUGAUCAGUCACACUGGAACUGAGACACGGUCCAGACUCCUACGGGAGGCAGCAGUGGGGAAUAUUGCACAAUGGACGAAAGUCUGAUGCAGCAACGCCGCGUGGAGGAUGACACAUUUCGGUGCGUAAACUCCUUUUAUAUGAGAAGAUAAUGACGGUAUUAUAUGAAUAAGCACCGGCUAACUCCGUGCCAGCCGCCGCCGUAA
rnacentral:rRNA from 1 species